rnacentral:rRNA from 1 species
AUACGGAGGAUGCGAGCGUUAUCCGGAUUUAUUGGGUUUAAAGGGAGCGUAGGUGGGAUAUUAAGUCAGCUGUGAAAGUUUGGGGCUCAACCUUAAAAUUGCAGUUGAUACUGGUUUCCUUGAGUACGGUACAGGUGGGCGGAAUUCGUGGUGUAGCGGUGAAAUGCUUAGAUAUCACGAAGAACUCCGAUCGCGAAGGCAGCUCACCGGGCCGGAACUGACACUGAUGCUCGAAAGUGCGGGUAUCAAACAGGAUUAGAUACCCUGGUAGUCCGCACAGUAAACGAUGAAUACUCGCUGUUUGCGAUACACGGUAAGCGGCCAAGCGAAAGCGUUAAGUAUUCCACCUGGGGAGUACGCCGGCAACGGUGAAACUCAAAU